rnacentral:lncRNA from 1 species
AGAGACACGGUUUAAAGACAAAAUUAGAUUUUUUUUUUCCUUAAACAAAUCUCAGAUAAAAAUCCACCCGUUAUAGAUUUUUUUAUCAAGUUGUCUGGUUGUUAGAAAUUUCACUCGUAAGGUUGCUAAGUGGAAUGUCGAGGUUCGAACCCCCGACUCUUGCAUAUAAAAAAUGAUGUCUCUUACCAACCCCGACUCUUACAUAUAAAAAGUGACUUUUCAUUUACAAUAGCUAUGCUCAUAUGGGAACACCCAUUAUAAAUUUU